GGGAUAAGCCCGGGAAACUGGGUCUAAUACCGGAUAACACCUUCUGCCGCAUGGUGGGGGGUUGAAAGUUCCGGCGGUGCAGGAUGAAUCCGCGGCCUAUCAGCUUGUUGGUGGGGUAGUGGCCUACCAAGGCGACGACGGGUAGCCGGCCUGAGAGGGCGACCGGCCACACUGGGACUGAGACACGGCCCAGACUCCUACGGGAGGCAGCAGUGGGGAAUAUUGCGCAAUGGGCGAAAGCCUGACGCAGCGACGCCGCGUGAGGGAUGACGGCCUUCGGGUUGUAAACCUCUUUCAGCAGGGAAGAAGCGCAAGUGACGGUACCUGCAGAAGAAGCACCGGCUAACUACGUGCCAGCAGCCGCGGUAAUACGUAGGGUGCGAGCGUUGUCCGGAAUUAUUGGGCGUAAAGAGCUCGUAGGCGGCCUGUCACGUCGGAUGU
rnacentral:rRNA from 1 species